rnacentral:rRNA from 1 species
AAGGAUCAUUAUUGAAUAAGUUUGGUUGGGUUGUUGCUGGCUCUUUUUGGGCAUGUGCACACCUAACACCAACCUUUUUAACCACCUGUGCACCCUUUGUAGACCUGGAUAUCUUUCGAGGAAACUCGGUAUGAGGAUUGCCGUGUAUCAAAGCCGGCUUUCCUUACAUUUCCGGUCUAUGUAAUUUAUAUACACCAUUAGUAUGUCUAUGAAUGUUCAUUGUCGGACUUUAUUGUCCAAUAAACUUAAUACAACUUUCAACAACGGAUCUCUUGGCUCUCGCAUCGAUGAAGAACGCAGCGAAAUGCGAUAAGUAAUGUGAAUUGCAGAAUUCAGUGAAUCAUCGAAUCUUUGAACGCACCUUGCGCUCCUUGGUAUUCCGAGGAGUAUGCCUGUUUGAGUGUCAUGAAAUUCCUCAACCUUUUCAACUUUUCCCCAAAAGUUUGAUCAGGCUUGGAUGUGGGAGUUUUUGCUGGCUUUUACCAUAAAGUCGGCUCUCCUUAAAUUUAUUAGUAGGACUUCUGUUGCCUCCAUUUUGGUGUGAUAAUUAUCUACGCCACCGUGGGAAGCAGCGUUUAGUGUGGAGUCUACUGCUUUCUAAUAGUCUCCGACGAGACAAUUUAUGACAAUUUGACCUCAAAUCCGGUAGGACUGGCUCGCUGAACGGAA